rnacentral:rRNA from 1 species
UUGCCAAAGGUUCGAACGGUAACAGGUCUUCGGAUGCUGACGAGUGGCGAACGGGUGAGUAAUACAUCGGAACGUGCCCGAUCGUGGGGGAUAACGAAGCGAAAGCUUUGCUAAUACCGCAUACGAUCUACGGAUGAAAGCAGGGGACCGCAAGGCCUUGCGCGAACGGAGCGGCCGAUGGCAGAUUAGGUAGUUGGUGGGAUAAAAGCUUACCAAGCCGACGAUCUGUAGCUGGUCUGAGAGGACGACCAGCCACACUGGGACUGAGACACGGCCCAGACUCCUACGGGAGGCAGCAGUGGGGAAUUUUGGACAAUGGGCGAAAGCCUGAUCCAGCCAUGCCGCGUGCAGGAUGAAGGCCUUCGGGUUGUAAACUGCUUUUGUACGGAACGAAAAGACUCUGGUUAAUACCUGGGGUCCAUGACGGUACCGUAAGAAUAAGCACCGGCUAACUACGUGCCAGCAGCCGCGGUAAUACGUAGGGUGCAAGCGUUAAUCGGAAUUACUGGGCGUAAAGCGUGCGCAGGCGGUUAUAUAAGACAGAUGUGAAAUCCCCGGGCUCAACCUGGGAACUGCAUUUGUGACUGUAUAGCUAGAGUACGGCAGAGGGGGAUGGAAUUCCGCGUGUAGCAGUGAAAUGCGUAGAUAUGCGGAGGAACACCGAUGGCGAAGGCAAUCCCCUGGGCCUGUACUGACGCUCAUGCACCGAAAGCGUGGGGAGCAACAGGAUUUAAAUACCCUGAGUAGUCCACGCCCUAAACGAUGUUCAACUGGGUUGUUGGGGUCUUCACUGACUCAGUAACCAAAGCUACACGCCGCGAAACUUGACCCCCCGGAG